rnacentral:rRNA from 1 species
UACGUAGGGGGCAAGCGUUGUCCGGAUUUAUUGGGCGUAAAGAGCUCGUAGGCGGUUUGUUGCGUCGGCUGUGAAAUCCCGAGGCUCAACCUCGGGUCUGCAGUCGAUACGAGCAAACUAGAGUGUUGCAGGGGAGACUGGAAUUCCUGGUGUAGCGGUGAAAUGCGCAGAUAUCAGGAGGAACACCGGUGGCGAAGGCGGGUCUCUGGGCUACAACUGACGCUGAGGAGCGAAAGCGUGGGGAGCGAACAGG